CCUACGGGAGGCAGCAGUGGGGAAUUUUGGACAAUGGGCGCAAGCCUGAUCCAGCAAUGCCGCGUGAGUGAAGAAGGCCUUCGGGUUGUAAAGCUCUUUUGUCAGGGAAGAAACGGUCUACUCUAAUACAGUGGGCUAAUGACGGUACCUGAAGAAUAAGCACCGGCUAACUACGUGCCAGCAGCCGCGGUAAUACGUAGGGUGCAAGCGUUAAUCGGAAUUACUGGGCGUAAAGCGUGCGCAGGCGGUUAUAUAAGUCAGAUGUGAAAUCCCCGGGCUCAACCUGGGAACUGCAUUUGAGACUGUAUGGCUAGAGUGUGUCAGAGGGGGGUAGAAUUCCACGUGUAGCAGUGAAAUGCGUAGAUAUGUGGAGGAAUACCGAUGGCGAAGGCAGCCCCCUGGGAUAACACUGACGCUCAUGCACGAAAGCGUGGGGAGCAAACAGGAUUUAGAUACCCUGGUAGUCCACGCCCUAAAACGAUGUCUACUAGUUGUCGGUACUUAAUUGUNUUGUACGCAGCUACGACGNGAGUAGACGCCGCGGAGGUACGGUCGCGAGAAGUAAACGUAACGUAAAGUAGUAAGUAGUACGACGUGAGACGAGCGACGGACGACGACGAGGGAGGAGG
rnacentral:rRNA from 1 species